UAGGGAAUAUUGGGCAAUGGGCGCAAGCCUGACCCAGCAACACCGCGUGAAUGAUGAAGGUCUUCGGAUUGUAAAGUUCUGUGAUGGGGGACGAAGAAAGUGACGGUACCCCAAUAGCAAGCCACGGCUAACUACGUGCCAGCAGCCGCGGUAAUACGUAGGUGGCAAGCGUUGUCCGGAAUGACUGGGCGUAAAGGGUACGUAGGUGGCUAUUCAAGUUAGUUGUGAAAUCCCGGGGCUCAACUCCGGUGCUACAAUUAAGACUGUUUAGCUUGAGUGCAGGAGGGGUAAGUGGAAUUCCUAGUGUAGCGGUGGAAUGCGUAGAUAUUAGGAGGAACACCAGUGGCGAAGGCGACUUACUGGACUGUAACUGACACUGAAGUACGAAAGCGUGGGGAGCAAACAGG
rnacentral:rRNA from 2 species